rnacentral:rRNA from 1 species
CCGCUACAGAAACUUAAAUGAAUUGAGUGGGGCCCGCACAAGCGGUGGAGUAUGUGGUUUAAUUCGAUGCAACGCGAAGAACCUUACCUGGUCUUGACAUCCCGGAGACCCUUAGGAAACUAGGGGGUGCUUCCAUCUGGAAGAAGUCUGGAGACAGGUGCUGCAUGGCUGUCGUCAGCUCGUGUCGUGAGAUGUUGGGUUAAGUCCCGCAACGAGCGCAACCCUUGCCUUUAGUUGCCAGCAGUUCGGCUGGGCACUCUAAAGGGACUGCCGGUGUUAAACCGGAGGAAGGUGGGGAUGACGUCAAGUCCUCAUGGCCUUUAUGACCAGGGCUACACACGUACUACAAUGGCCGAUACAAAGGGCAGCGACACUGCGAGGUGAAGCCAAUCCCGUAAAAUCGGUCUCAGUCCGGAUUGGAGUCUGCAACUCGACUCCAUGAAGUUGGAAUCACUAGUAAUCGUGGAUCAGCAUGCCACGGUGAAUACGUUCCCGGGCCUU